rnacentral:rRNA from 1 species
AUGCCGUUGAGGCAGAUUUGGGUUCGUUUCUCCGGGGCACCAUCUGAUCCCUUGGAUAGCUUCUUGGUGACGUGGAGUUUGGGGUCUUUGAUCGGCAAGACUGAACAGGUGGAUAUGCCAUUCACUCGGGCCAACGGGGUGGCGCGUUUACUUGUCAGUGUUGCUAAUAUUGAAUUCUUGCCGAAUGUGGUGCAUUGGACAUACGAUGGUGUUAUGUAUCAGCUGGACAUUUUGUAUGAGGAUCCUAAUUUGUUCGAUGAGUUUGAGGAUGAUAACCCUAUGGACACGACUGAGGGAGGAGGUGCCUCGGGGAACCAGGAUGAUUCGGCUAUGGGUGAUGAAGACAGGGCCAAUGGUCAGGUUGGUCCGUCUGAGUCUACUAAUAUGGCUCCUGCGAGGUCUUCUGGGGUUGCUCCGACAUCCACUUUGCAGCUUGGGUCCUUGGGACCGUUCUCUGCUCCACCUAGGCUGUGGGGUGUAUUUUCGGGUUCCGUGGAUCCCGUGGCUCCUCUUUGUGCGCCGAUGGUUCUUGAGUUGGGAGAUACCGAGGGGCAGGUGGCCCUUCCCACGACUCCUACCUCGCUGAUGGCUACCGUGGAUGGUACUGCGACUGCGGCUAUGGCUAGUGGUGACGGGCAGGAGGCCCGGUCUCCUGUGAUGCUGACGCCGACGGCGCCCAUGGAGGACUCGGCGCUCUUCCCCACGUCGCCGCGCGCAGGAGGAGGGGUGGCUGUGCAGGAGGCCGCCGUCUCUCUUUGCCCCGUUGCGGUGGUCGGGUCAGGUGAUGCGCUCGUCUCUCCGGCUGCCUCUCCGGAGCACCGUGAGCGGGUCUCCCCGGCCCCUGCUGCCGGCGGGUCGCCCGUGGACAGGCCCGGGGAGCCACUGUUGGGGGAUGGGCAGGAGGCCUUUCCCCUAGCAGAGCUUCUUGCGAGGAGGUCAUCGCCUUUGGCGGUAUCCCGGACCCGGUCUCCCAGGGGAGGCGGGUCAGCGGGAGGCUGUAGGAGCAGCCGAACGUUGAUGACAUGCAGCUGA